rnacentral:lncRNA from 1 species
CGCCGUUCGCAGUCGAUGACACUGGAUAUUUAAAAUGAGGCUGCAGUGUGAAUUAAGAGGGAGGUUUGCGAGUACAUAAAUUUUACAGCCGGACAGGAUAUAUUUCAACGAACACGAAUCUCCCAGGUAAUGCAGUUAUGUUUGUUGCGGCCUGAAACGGAUCGAGUGUAAAAAAAAGUACAAUAUUAAU